rnacentral:rRNA from 1 species
UACAGAGGGUGCAAGCGUUGUUCGGAAUUACUGGGCGUAAAGCGCGUGUAGGUGGCGGUGUAAGUCGGGUGUGAAAUCCCUUGGCUACAACCCAAGGAAGUGCACUCGAUACUGCGUCGCUUGAGUACUGGAGGGGAUGGCGGAAUUCCCGGUGGUGACGAGGUCGAAAGUUCGUAGAUAUCGGGAGGAACACCUGUGGCGAAGGCGGCCAUCUGGACAGUCGACUGACACUGAGACGCGAAAGCGUGGGUAGCAAACAGG